rnacentral:lncRNA from 1 species
AGAGAAGGGAUAUUGUUCAUCGAAUUAACCUGAGCACAUGAUUGGUGCUUUCUCCCAGAAUUUGUGUUCUUGUUGUUUGUGGUGGAGGUGGUGGUGGUACUAGUAGUAGUAGUUUUUACUUUGGACACAAGACCAGCAAUUUUUGCAAGGAGGGUAUUAGUUGAUAACAUUGACUCUAGCCAGUACUUGACUGCUUACUCCAUUUAAAUGCUUUUAUUUAUUUGUAUUCAUGUUUCAUUUUGUAUAUUUCUGUAUCAGGUAACCAUUUUUGGAAAAUUAUGAUAAGAUCAAGCUGUAUGUAUAUGAUCUAGGAAUAUAAAACUGAUUUUAAUUUUUGAAUCUCUUACAGUUUCAUCAGAUCACUGCUCUCAUUCCAUCUGCAACUUGUCUAUUCACCUUCUUUUGGCAUAUUUCUAAUCGGCCGCCUGAGUAAUUACUGUACCAGCUAAGGGUCUGGUGUGUUUUAUGUACCGUAAGUUGACUGAGCCAGUCACAUAUGGCAACCAUUGUUGAUACGAUGCCAAUCACUUGGGAAUAUCAAAGUAAAAAACAUCAGUGUCUAUUUUACCAAACCUGUGCUCAUUCACAUUGUUGAUUAAGCAUUUUUUGUUUUAAUAAAAAAAUCAUUUAAAUAGAGA